AACUCGGUGAGUGGCAGUG
rnacentral:misc_RNA from 1 species